rnacentral:rRNA from 1 species
AGAAUCAACGCUGGCGGCGUGCCUAACACAUGCAAGUCGAACGAGAAAGUGGAGCAAUCCAUUAGUAAAGUGGCGCACGGGUGAGUAACACGUGACUAACCUACCCUUGAGUGGGGGAUAACCUAGGGAAACCUGGGCUAAUACCGCAUAAUACCUUCGGGUCAAAGGAGCAAUUCGCUUAAGGAGGGGGUCGCGGCCGAUUAGUUAGUUGGCGGGGUAAUGGCCCACCAAGACUAUGAUCGGGUAUCCGG